rnacentral:rRNA from 1 species
CACGUAGGGUGCGAGCGUUGUCCGGAAUUAUUGGGCGUAAAGAGCUCGUAGGCGGUGUGUCGCGUCGGCCGUGAAAACCUGUGGCUUAACUAUGGGCUUGCGGUCGAUACGGGCAUCACUGGAGUUCGGCAGGGGAGACUGGAAUUCCUGGUGUAGCGGUGGAAUGCGCAGAUAUCAGGAGGAACACCGGUGGCGAAGGCGGGUCUCUGGGCAGUAACUGACGCUGAGGAGCGAAAGCGUGGGGAGCGAACAGG